UACGAAGGGGGCUAGCGUUGCUCGGAAUCACUGGGCGUAAAGGGUGCGUAGGCGGGUCUUUAAGUCAGGGGUGAAAUCCUGGAGCUCAACUCCAGAACUGCCUUUGAUACUGAGGAUCUUGAGUUCGGGAGAGGUGAGUGGAACUGCGAGUGUACAGGUGAAAUUCGUAGAUAUUCGCAAGAACACCAGUGGCGAAGGCGGCUCACUGGCCCGGUACUGACGCUGAGGUGCGAAAGCGUGGGGGGCAAACAGG
rnacentral:rRNA from 1 species